rnacentral:rRNA from 1 species
UACGUAGGGUGCAAGCGUUGUCCGGAAUUAUUGGGCGUAAAGAGCUCGUAGGCGGCUUGUCGCGUCGGAUGUGAAAGCCCGGGGCUUAACUCCGGGUCUGCAUUCGAUACGGGCAGGCUAGAGUUCGGUAGGGGAGAUCGGAAUUCCUGGUGUAGCGGUGAAAUGACGCAGAUAUCAGGAGGAACACCGGUGGCGAAGGCGGGUCUCUGGGCCGAUACUGACGCUGAGGAGCGAAAGCGUGGGGAGCGAACAGG